GCCAGUGUGGGUAUAGUGGUUUGAGUAUUAGACUAUGACUUUGGAGACCAGGGUUCGAUUCCCAACUUGGCCA